UAUUGAAUCAAAGCAAAUAUUAACAUUAAUAAAAUGUUUUGAAAGAUAAUUGUUUUGACUUUUGACUAGUCGUAAGUAGCAAUUUACUAGAGAUGAGGAAUUGUAUAAGAUUAAGGAUGUAUUUCACUAUGAGAUUUUAGAGUUAGCUUUGAAGAGUGUCAAAUUGGAAUAUCAUGUUGGUGGAAAAUUAUUAUGCUUUGAAGGUUGGAAUAAGCAUUGGAAAGCCGAUGAUGUUGAGAUAUACAUUUACAAUGGUCUCGUAAUCAGGUGCUAAAUAUUGCAAGGACAUGCGUUGUGUAAUUAUCAUUGAUUUCACAAUAACCCAUGGGGUAAAUGUGGUAAUUUGCAAAAGUAGUAAGGGAGUGGAAUUUGGUAAUUGUGGAUACAUUGCUGUCAAUGUUGAAAUAAUGCUAACUUUGGUUGGUGCUGCAAAAAAAAAGGUCAGCCAAAUAUGUGUAGAACGAAGCCGCAAUAUCUACUACAAGAUUGCUACUCUAUAGAUGUUGAAUGGGGUUCCCAACCACUUAUAAAAGUGGAUCAAGAUCAAGAAAAGGAGAACAUGAAGUUUAAGGUUUGUGUGUGUGGAUAUUCCUUCAUUUGAAUGUGGCUUCCUAGAUGUUGAGUUCAUGUUUUUGUUUUCUUACAUCAUUAGGUAGCAACUGAUUGUUUUGGUAGCUUGUUUGCUCAUAUAUAUCAAAAUUCUGAUAGAAUUGGAAACACAUGUUUGUUGUUAUGGUAUUAGCAUAUGUUACUCAUUAUACACACAAGUACAUAAGUUUAUUGUGACAAAAGUGCUGAUAUUAUGUGAAGGUUAUGUAGAGAAUCCGUGGAGGGUUGGUGACGUUAAUGACUGUUGUGGAUGUGUUAAAUCUUUGGUAAUGUUUCUUUCCAGCUUUAAUUACAUCCUCAAAUGCCAAUGAUUCAAUAGUAGUGUAAUCUCCUGCACAACCGCAAGACACCUGCUCAAAACCAAAACAAACAAAAAUUGUUUUCGAAUUGCUUUUAACUUUGGUUUCUCGUACAAAAAAACUAAUACAAAGGUGCAUGAGUAGUAGUAACUGAAUAAAUAAUAAGUGCAAAUAGUUGACUUAAAAUAAGAAGUUGAAAGAGUUGAAUGAUUUCAUCUCACUUUUUACCAUUUGAGAUAAAUAAGUUUGAAAAUUGAUUCAACUUAUUCAACCACAAAAAUUAGAAAACUAAACCAAUUAUAAAAAACGAAUUGUUCAACCCUUUCAUCUACUAUUUUGGAGAGGAAUUGAUUAAAUGAUGUUCA
rnacentral:sRNA from 1 species